rnacentral:rRNA from 1 species
GAUCAAGUAAAGGAAGAGCACAAGGCGGAUGCCUUGGCAGCAUAAGGCGAUGAAGGACGUAAUAACCUGCGAUAAGCCUCGGGGAGCUGGUAAAUAAGCUUCGAUCCGAGGAUUUCCGAAUGGGAAAACCCAAUACACAUAAGUGUAUUAUCUUAUACUGAAUACAUAGGUAUAAGAGGCAAACCUAGGGAACUGAAACAUCUAAGUACCUAGAGGAAAAGAAAUCAACAGAGAUUCCGGUAGUAGCGGCGAGCGAAACCGGACCAGCCCUUAAGCUUAUUUUAGUCCAGCAAAAUAUUCUGGAAAGUUUAGCCAUAGCAGGUGAUAGCCCUGUAUGCGAAAGACUAAUUUAAGUGAAAUCGAGUAGGUCGGGACACGAGAAAUCUUGACUGAACAUGGGGGGACCAUCCUCCAAGGCUAAAUACUCUAUGCUGACCGAUAGUGAACCAGUACCGUGAGGGAAAGGCGAAAAGAACCCCGGCGAGGGGAGUGAAAUAGAACCUGAAACCUUGUGCUUACAAGCAGUCGGAGCAGACUUGUUCUGUGACGGCGUACCUUUUGUAUAAUGGGUCAACGACUUAAUUUCAGUAGCAAGCUUAACCAUAUAGGGUAGGCGUAGGGAAACCGAGUCUUAAUAGGGCGCUCAGUUGCUGGAAUUAGACCCGAAACCGGGUGAUCUAUCCAUGGCCAGUGUGAAGGUCGAGUAACAUCGACUGGAGGCGCGAACCCACUUAUGUUGAAAAAUGAGGGGAUGAGCUGUGGAUAGGAGUGAAAGGCUAAUCAAACCCGGAGAUAGCUGGUUCUCUUCGAAAACUAUUUAGGUAGUGCCUCGUGUAUUACUGUAGGGGGUAGAGCACUGUUUCGGCUAGGGGGUCAUCCCGACUUACCAAACCGAUGCAAACUCCGAAUACCUACAAGUAUGAGCACGGGAGACAGACUGCGGGUGCUAACGUCCGUAGUCGAGAGGGAAACAACCCAGACUGUCAGCUAAGGUCCCAAAUUAUGAUUAAGUGGGAAACAAUGUGGGA